rnacentral:rRNA from 1 species
CCUGGCUCAGAUUGAACGCUGGCGGUAUGCUUAACACAUGCAAGUCGAACGGCAGCAUGGUCUAGCUUGCUAGACUGAUGGCGAGUGGCGAACGGGUGAGUAACGCGUAGGAAUAUGCCUUAAAGAGCGGGACAACUUGGGGAAACUCAAGCUAAUACCGCAUAAUGUCUGAGGACAAAAGCUGGGGACCUUCGGGCCUGGCGCUUUAAGAUUAGCCU